UUUCAGUGAGCUGACAGCUCAACAGCUGAGUGUUGGCCGGGCGUCGGCCAUCAUGUAUGACUGCUAACAAGAUAUUGAUUUCUUAUUAUUCAUUUUGCUAAAUUUACCAGUCUUUCGGCCACGGUGUGCCAGAUUUGAUUUUUACAAAGUAUAUUAAUAUUUUCUUACAACGAAUAUUUUUACCAGUCUGUGUUCGCUUGUUUUGAAGUACCUAAACAAAUAUUUAUAUUUAGCGUGGAACAAGAAUAAAGUGUUGUGUUGAUCGACAAUGUCUGCUGCUAUUCUGAUCAAACGAUGCGUGUUGACUAACAUUUAGAUUCAGAUUGUCUAGAAGCACUCGCCAACUUCGAACUUUGGAAGUAUGAGGAUUUCCUUCGUCAGAACCUAAGCAAAGUUUAGACACACAUAAGAGUUAAUAUUGAGUCUAGGAUUUUAACAGGUUAUACAAUAAUGUCGCAACAAACAUGGGAUAAUGACAGAACUAGAGGCAGCCAAACUGACCAGGACCUUGAGAGUCUUCUUAUCGAUCAUAUGAUCGAUUGGAACUUAAGCCUGGAAAGACGACUUGACACACGACGACACGGAUUUGAAAACAUUCCUUCUCGCUGCCAGAUGGAGGGUGCACCUUUGGAGACAACCCAGCCAUAUCCAGUGGCUUGGGCCAUCUAUCAGCAGAUAUGGCUUCAAAGUAGGCAGAGAUCAACUCAGACUUUGAGAUCGGACUCAACAUUUGGUUGUGGACAAAUGGUUGGAGAAUGCUUUACAACUCCACGGGCUAUUACCAGAACUAGCCCUUACCAACGGCCUGCAAUGUCACAGCAGAAAAAUGAGCGAAGCACAUCGUGUAACAUUGUAACGAGAACAAACCAGGUCAACGUUGGUGCCAGCACCUCGCGAGGUAUAACAAGUAGUGGCAAUAUUAACCUCAACACGAUAAAUGAGUCAAAUAAGAACACAAAGAUAUUAUCCAAGAGAAAGAGGGAUCAGAUAAGAAUGAUGACAUUUAAUAUGGCAAAAAAAGAUGUACUAGAGAACAAUGACAGUGUUCAAUAGUGCAACGAAAAAGAAGACGCAAGAGGUAAACAGCUUUAAGUACCCAUACAGAUACAAAAUAAUUUGUUUAAAAAAAAAUCGUUAAAAAUAAAAAUACAAUAAUUAUAUAUAAAACUCAAAUAUUAACUUAUUGGAUGAAUGAAUAACUAAUAUGAUUUGUUUGUAUUAUGUUAUACCACAGUGAAAUCUUGUUUAAAUCAUUGUGAAUCAUUAGUUAGUGUGAUUAUUUAUA